rnacentral:rRNA from 2 species
UACGUAGGUGGCAAGCGUUAUCCGGAAUUAUUGGGCGUAAAGCGCGCGUAGGCGGUUUCUUAAGUCUGAUGUGAAAGCCCACGGCUCAACCGUGGAGGGUCAUUGGAAACUGGGAAACUUGAGUGCAGAAGAGGAAAGUGGAAUUCCAUGUGUAGCGGUGAAAUGCGCAGAGAUAUGGAGGAACACCAGUGGCGAAGGCGACUUUCUGGUCUGUAACUGACGCUGAUGUGCGAAAGCGUGGGGAUCAAAC